rnacentral:rRNA from 1 species
UGGGGAAUCUUAGACAAUGGGCGCAAGCCUGAUCUAGCCAUGCCGCGUGAGUGACGAAGGCCCUAGGGUCGUAAAGCUCUUUCGCCAGGGAUGAUAAUGACAGUACCUGGUAAAGAAACCCCGGCUAACUCCGUGCCAGCAGCCGCGGUAAUACGGAGGGGGUUAGCGUUGUUCGGAAUUACUGGGCGUAAAGCGCGCGUAGGCGGACUAUUAAGUCAGAGGUGAAAUCCCGGGGCUCAACCCCGGAACUGCCUUUGAUACUGGUAGUCUUGAGUUCGAGAGAGGUGAGUGGAAUUGCGAGUGUAGAGGUGAAAUUCGUAGAUAUUCGCAGGAACACCAGUGGCGAAGGCGGCUCACUGGCUCGAUACUGACGCUGAGGUGCGAAAGUGUGGGGAGCAAACAGGAUUAGAUACCCUGGUAGUCCACACCGUAAACGAUGAAUGCCAGUCGUCGGAUAGCAUGCUAUUCGGUGACACACCUAACGGAUUAAGCAUUCCGCCUGGGGAGUACGGCCGCAAGGUUAAAACUA